rnacentral:rRNA from 1 species
UACAGAGGGUGCAAGCGUUGUUCGGAAUUAUUGGGCGUAAAGGGCGUGUAGGCGGUUUGCUAAGUCAUGUGUGAAAUCCCUCGGCUUAACCGAGGAACGACGCAUGAAACUGGCAGGCUAGAGUACCAAAGAGGGGGGUGGAAUUCCCGGUGUAGCGGUGAAAUGCGUAGAGAUCAGGAAGAACAUCGGUGGCGAAGGCGCUCUGCUGGACCAUAACUGACACUCAGGGACGAAAGCUAGGGGAGCGAAUGGG